rnacentral:rRNA from 1 species
CAGCACCUCAAGUGGUCAGGAUGAUUAUUGGGCCUAAAGCAUCCGUAGCUUGCUUUGUCAGUUUUCGGUUAAAUCCAUACGCUCAACGUAUGGGCUGCCGGGAAUACUGCAAGGCUAGGGAGUGGGAGAGGUAGACGGUACUCGGUGGGAAGGGGUAAAAUCCUUUGAUCUAUUGAUGACCACCUGUGGCGAAGGCGGUCUACCAGAACACGUCCGACGGUGAGGGAUGAAAGCUGGGGGAGCAAACCGGAUUAGAUACCCGCGUAGUCC